rnacentral:piRNA from 1 species
UAAUUUUUAGAUGUUCGUUUA